AAAUUAACGAUCCGCUGCAGUAGCAUUACCUUGCUUCCGCCACACAGUCCCACGCAACCGCAGCUCCCCCCAUUCCGUCCCUUCCCAUCACCACCUCCGCCUCCGAUCCCCCUCUCUGCCGCGCUUCGGUCACCGUUAAACCCGACCUGCCCAAUGUGAAAGAAACAAUUAAAAGCAAAACAGAAAACAAAACCCUAGCUAAUUCAAACGCUUAGAGGGAAAACAACACAAGCUCAGAAUGGGGAAUAAAAUCGCGCGAACAACGCAAGCUUCGGCGACGGAGUAUUACCUGCACGAUUUACCGUCUUCUUAUAAUUUAGUAUUGAAAGAAGUCUUAGGCCGAGGACGAUUCCUGAAAUCGAUCCUGUGCAAGCACGACGAAGGACUUGUGCUAGUCAAGGUUUAUUUCAAAAGAGGGGACUCCAUUGACUUACGCGACUACGAGCGCCGCCUCUCCCAAAUUCACGGUGUAUUUACUGGCCUCGAUCACCCUCAUGUCUGGCCCUUCCAGUUUUGGCUUGAAACUGACAAAGCUGCCUACUUGUUGAGACAAUACUUUUUUAAUAAUCUUCAUGAUCGGCUGAGCACUCGACCUUUCCUCAGUCUUGUUGAGAAGAAAUGGCUGGCUUUUCAGCUGCUUUAUGCUGUAAAACAGAGCCAUGAAAAUGGAGUUUGUCAUGGUGAUAUUAAGUGUGAGAAUGUUCUGGUUACUUCCUGGAACUGGCUUUAUCUUGCUGAUUUUGCAUCAUUCAAACCGACGUAUAUUCCACAUGAUGAUCCUUCUGAUUUUUCGUUUUUCUUUGACACUGGUGGAAGAAGGCGGUGUUACCUUGCUCCUGAGAGAUUUUAUGGGCAUGGAGGUGAAACGCAAGUUGCUCAAGAUGCACCAUUAAAACCAUCAAUGGACAUCUUUGCUGUAGGGUGUGUAAUAGCUGAGCUAUUCCUCGAGGGUCAGCCAUUGUUUGAGUUGUCUCAACUGCUUGCUUAUCGUAGAGGACAAUAUGAUCCUAGCCAACAUCUAGAAAAAAUUCCAGAUUCAGGAAUCCGCAAGAUGAUUCUUCAUAUGAUUCAAUUGGAUCCGGAGGCACGUUUUUCUGCUGAAAGCUAUCUGCAGAACUUCUCUGGCAUUGUGUUUCCUGGCUACUUCUCUCCAUUUCUCCACAAUUUCUAUUCCUUGUUGAAUCCCCUUAAUUCUGAUGCAAGGGUUUUAAUAUGCCAGACGUCUUUUCAAGAGAUUCUUAGACAAAUGAUGAGCAGUAGUGUAGUCAAGGAGACUGUUUCUGGGGAGGCGCUUUCUUUAGAUGCUAUGCAUCAAUCUCUCCAUGGGACUGAUGCACAACAUAAUACAAAUGUGGAGGACACCAGUAGUAAAAGAGAAAAGGUGGAUAAGGGCUCAAUUCAUGAUAGGUUUGAUCUUCUUGGUGAUGUUGGUAAUCUACUCAGGGAUGUAAAGGAAAAUAAUCGAUUUCAUAGCAUGAAACCGUUGCUGGAAGGUGUGGCUAGAUCUGCAUAUUCUCAAAACAGAAAGCAGUGUGAUGUGCAAUCUCCUGAUGAGCUGAUUCAGAGUAUCUCUAAUAUAUUUAACAGAAGUCACCAUCCCUUCUUAAAAAAGAUAACAACAAGUGAUUUGAACUCAUUAAUGUCGGAUUAUGACAACCAGUCAGACACUUUUGGUAUGCCUUUUCUACCAUUACCUCAAGAUAUCAUGAGCUGUGAAGGUAUGGUUCUGAUUGCCUCAUUGCUCUGUUCCUGCAUAAGAAAUGUCAAACUGCCAUUCAUGAGGAGAGGGGCUGUGCUUCUAUUGAAGUCGUGUUCCUUAUACAUUGAUGAUGAAGAUCGAUUGCAGCGUGUGCUUCCAUAUGUCAUUGCAAUGCUCUCAGAUCCAGCUGCAAUUGUGCGUUGUGCUGCCCUAGAGACUUUAUGUGACAUUCUUCCCUUAGUCAGAGAUUUUCCACCCAGUGAUGCUAAAAUUUUUCCCGAGUAUAUUCUUCCAAUGCUCUCCAUGCUCCCUGAUGAUCCAGAGGAAAGUGUAAGGAUAUGUUAUGCAAGCAAUAUAUCUAAGCUGGCACUUACUGCUUAUGGGUUUUUGAUUCACUCUAUAAGCUUGAGUGAGGCAGGAGUUCUCAGUGAAUCAAGUUCGCCACAGAAGUCACUCUCUACAUCCUCUGAUACAUCUGGAAGGAGAUACAGUCCAAAUAGUGAUGCACAGCUUGUGCAAUUAAGGAAGUCUAUUGCGGAUGUCAUUCAAGAACUUGUGAUGGGCCCAAAGCAAACACCAAAUAUCAGGAGAGCACUCCUGCAUGACAUUGGCAAUCUUUGUUGGUUUUUUGGCCAGAGGCAGAGUAAUGAUUUCUUGUUGCCCAUCCUCCCAGCUUUCCUAAAUGACCGGGAUGAGCAACUCAGGGCAGUGUUUUAUGGACAGAUCAUAUAUGUCUGCUUUUUCGUGGGACAACGGAGUGUCGAGGAAUAUCUUUUGCCAUACAUUGAGCAGGCUUUAAGUGAUGUAACUGAGGCUGUAAUUGUGAAUGCUCUGGAAUGCCUAGCUAUUUUAUGCAAAAGUGGAUUUCUAAGGAAGAGAAUCUUGCUUGAGAUGAUAGAACACGCUUUUCCACUGUUGUGUUAUCCUAGUCAAUGGGUCAGGAGGGCCGAUGUCACAUUCAUUGCAGCUAGCAGCGAGAGUUUAGGUGCAGUAGAUUCAUAUGUUUUCCUUGUGCCUGUUAUACGCACCUUCCUGCGUAGACAACCAGCAUCUUUAGCUUCAGAAAAGGCUCUUUUUUCAUGCCUAGAGCCACCAGUGUCAAGAGAGAGAUACUAUCGUGUUUUAGAAAGUGCCAGGAGCUCAGACAUGCUGGAGAGACAGCGAAAAAUAUGGUACAACAGUGACUCACAGGCUAAAAAUUGGGAAACAGUGGAUUUUCUUCAGAGAGGGGUGAAGGAGCUGGAUCCAAUGAUGUGCUGGUCUGACCGACAAAGAGAUCUUCAGAGCAAUAAAGUUGUUGAACGUGCAAAUCUGCCUCUGGAUCUUGCAGAUUGUAAUGAUAAUGACCAGAAUUCAAAAGUUGUGGGCAACUCAGUGCAAAGUCCUAUGGCUAUGGAUUCUGGCGACUUCCUGGAUUCUGAAAAGUUGCAGCUGCCCGGUUUUAUCUCUCCACCUCUUAGUGGAAUGAACAGUUUAAUGGAGAAAUCAUCACAAGGCAUUCCUUUGUAUUACUUUAAAGUUGAUAACAAACGAGCUGCAGGCUCUCCAACAGUCUCUGAUUCAUCAUUACCAUGUGGUUCUUUAGGUUUUGGUUCUGCAUCCUUGCCAUGGAUGGAUCCAGUUAGUAAAUCAUUUAGCUUGGCCAAUUCAGAUCCAGCUCCUAAGUUUAUCUCAGGCUCAAUCAGCAUUGGUGGUGGUUCCACACAAUUGCGAAGGGUUGUACAUGAAGUUGAAGACAGGGAAAUGGAUCAAACAGCCUUUGUAAAUAACAAGUUUCUGGAAAUGGGAGUGUCUGGCACAACAAAAGGGAGUUCCCUUUCAAUUGAAAGUAAUUCUGCUUCAAGUGAGGGUGCAGAUGUACCAUCUUUUGGGCGAACAUCGACGAUUCCAGAUUCAGGGUGGAGGCCUCGUGGGGUGUUGGUUGCGCAUCUCCAGGAUCACCACUCUGCUGUUAAUGACAUAGCUGUUUCCACUGACCAUAGCUUUUUCGUAAGUGCAUCUGAAGAUUCUACUGUUAAACUUUGGGAUUCUAAAAGGUUAGAAAAAGAUAUCUCAUUCAGGUCGCGCCUAACUUAUUCUUUAGAUGGAAGUCGAGCACUGUGUGUUGCUGUGAUCCAGGGUUCUGCUCAAGUUGUUGUUGGAGCUUGUGAUGGAGCUAUACACAUGUUCUCUGUUGAUUACGUAUCCGGGGGUCUGGGCAAUGUUGUGGAGAAAUAUUCAGGCAUAGCUGAUGUUAAAAAGAACGGAGUUGGAGAAGGUGCUAUAUUAAACCUUUUGAACUACUCCCCUGAUGGUGGUGCUUGCAAAAUGAUUUUGUACAGUACCCAGAAUUGUGGAAUUCAUCUGUGGGAUACAAGAACAAGUUCAAAUGUUUGGAAUUCAAAAGUGGUCCCUGAGGAGGGUUAUGUAUCUUCUCUGGUUGCAGAUCCUUGUGGGAACUGGUUUGUCACUGGGUCAUCAAGAGGCGUGCUUACCCUUUGGGAUUUGAGGUUUGGAAUACCUGUCAAUUCAUGGCAGUAUUCUCUUGCAUGCCCAAUUGAGAAAAUGAGCCUUUUUGUUCCUCCUCCUAGUACCUCCUUCUUCCUAUCUACCAGACCUCUUGUUUAUGUUGCAGCAGGGUGUAAUGAAGUUUCUCUUUGGAAUGCAGAAAAUGGAAGCUGCCAUCAGGUGUUGAGGGUAGCAAAUAAUGAGACCGAUGCUGAAAUUUCUGACUCGCCUUGGGCAUUAGCCAGAGCAUCCAGCAAGGGCAAUGCCAAAUCGGAUAUCAGGGUGGGGAUCUAUUGACAGGGGGUACUGACUUGAAAAUACGUCGCUGGGACCAUUCCAGCCCUGAUCGAAGUUAUUGCGUAUGUGGACCAUCUAUAAAGGGAGUUGGAAAUGAUGAUAGUUUUGAGACAAAGUCUUACUAUGGUGUGCAAGUUGUGCAGGAGGGCAGAAGACGACCUUUGACAAUGAGAUUGACCACAAAGACUAUCCUUGCUGGUGCUGCCACUGAUUCUGCAGGAUGUCACCGUGAUUCUGUCCUCUCUUUGGCUUCUGUGAAGCUGAACCAGAGGCUUCUGAUUUCGAGCAGUAGGGAUGGUGCAAUUAAGGUUUGGAAGUAGAGGACUCGGAAAUAACUGUUGUUCAUUGUAUAUAUUGUAGGUUCAGUAGAAAUAAUUGUACAGUAUUUACCAAAUCUGAAAUACAGAUUUUUGUGUUCCUAACUGCUUUACAUUUCUAACCUAGCUUUAGUUGUACAGCUUAUGAGCUUAUUGUGACAUGUAUAUCUUCUUUUUGCAUGGAAAUAAUGCUUUCAUUUGUGUUGACAUCCAACUUUCCUUUAGCUUGGUACUGCAGUAUGUCAAACUGUUGUACUCCAUUUAGACCUCUAAUUGUGAAACUUUAAUUCUUAUUUGUUGGCCUAGGCCACAUUACUGGCUCAACUGUGAAACUGUUAAAAGAAUUUGUUAUAGUGCUGUUAAAAGGAUUAGGUAGUAUUUUGUUUGCUCAACCACUAUGAAGUUCUUUAAAUAUUGGAUUUAUCUCCCGUUUGAUAUAACUGCCAUAAUGAUGGAUGGAAAUUUUUGAGGCAUUGUGAAAGCCUGUCUGUGGUAUUGAUCUU